CGGGAGUAGCUCAGUGGUAGAGCGUCAGCCUUCCAAGCUGAGGGUCGCGGGUUCGAAUCCCGUUUCCCGCUU
rnacentral:tRNA from 1 species